GACGAACGCUGGCGGCGUGCUUAACACAUGCAAGUCGAACGGAAAGGCCCUGCUUUUGUGGGGUGCUCGAGUGGCGAACGGGUGAGUAACACGUGAGUAACCUGCCCUUGACUUUGGGAUAACUUCAGGAAACUGGGGCUAAUACCGGAUAGGAGCUCCUGCUGCAUGGUGGGGGUUGGAAAGUUUCGGCGGUUGGGGAUGGACUCGCGGCUUAUCAGCUUGUUGGUGGGGUAGUGGCUUACCAGGGCUUUGACGGGUAGCCGGCCUGGGAGGGUGACCGGCCACAUUGGGACUGAGAUGCGGCCCAGACUCCUACGGGAGGCAGCAGUGGGGAAUAUUGCACAAUGGGCGGAAGCCUGAUGCAGCAACGCCGCGUGCGGGAUGACGGCCUUCGGGUUGUAAACCGCUUUCGCCUGUGACGAAGCGUGAGUGACGGUAAUGGGUAAAGAAGCACCGGCUAACUACGUG
rnacentral:rRNA from 1 species